UACGAAGGGGGCUAGCGUUGUUCGGAAUUACUGGGCGUAAAGCGCACGUAGGCGGAUAUUUAAGUCAGGGGUGAAAUCCUGGAGCUCAACUCCAGAACUGCCUUUGAUACUGGCGACCUUGAGUCCGGGAGAGGUGAGUGGAACUGCGAGUGUAGAGGUGAAAUUCGUAGAUAUUCGCAAGAACACCAAUGGCGAAGGCAGCUCGCUGGGACGGUACUGACGCUGAGACGCGAAAGCGUGGGGAGCAAACAGG
rnacentral:rRNA from 1 species